CAAAGGCUUGGUCCUGACUUUACUAUCAACUUUAGCCAAACUUACACAUGCAAGUAUCCGCACCCCUGUGAGAAUGCCCUACAGUCCCCCGCCCGGGAACAAGGAGCUGGUAUCAGGCACACCCCAUUAAGCCCAUGACACCUUGCUUAGCCACACCCUCAAGGGAACUCAGCAGUGAUAAACAUUAAGCCAUAAGUGAAAACUUGACUUAGUUAAAGCUAAGAGGGCCGGUAAAACUCGUGCCAGCCACCGCGGUUAUACGAGAGGCCCAAGUUGAUAGACACCGGCGUAAAGAGUGGUUAAGUUAAAACCUCACACUAAAGCCAAACAUCUUCAAGACUGUUAUACGCAACCGAAGACAGGAAGUUCAACCACGAAAGUGGCUUUAUUUGAUCUGAACCC
rnacentral:rRNA from 1 species